UGGUGGAUGUCCCGGUGAGGGCAGUGAUGGCUUUCAUGAAGAAAUCUUUAAAUGAAGACGGGAUUACCCAAACCUUUCCCUUCCCUGCUGCACUAGAAGCCAGGAAUAUCCUGUUGCUUCAGUCUGAAAACGGAACAGUUUAAAAAUCACGAGGAGGUGAGCAAAGAACCUGCUGUGCCCCUGGAUUCUGCAUUUACCACUUUGCUAAAGAGAGCCUAUGAGAGAGGAAGCAAUACCCUACUGGAAGGUGGUGUUCAGACAAAAUUGGCUUCCUGGCUCCCACCUGACCAGCUUUUGUUGGGAGUAAAGCAUGUGCUGUUAUACCUGAAAUCCACAGUGGAGAACUUCAGCAGGCUUGGUAAAACUUUGGGUCCUCAGCUUGUUGAUCUCUGUGUGGACCUGCUGAGCAUCUUGUUGUGCCGGGACAAUGAAAUAAAGCUGGAGCAGCAGCAGAAGCAGGAGGAGCAUCAGGCUGAUGGGAUCUCUUCAUGGAUGAGGAGCCUCUGAUGACAGAAGUGUCUUCAAAUGACAAGACCCUGGAGGAUGCACUCACCUUGAUUUUCAGACAUCCUGCACUGGAGAGCUGGUUCCUGGCGUUGGAGCUGCGCUCUAUUCCUCAG